GACGAACGCUGGCGGCGUGCCUAAUACAUGCAAGUCGAGCGGACGUUUUCGAAGCUUGCUUCAAAAACGUUAGCGGCGGACGGGUGAGUAACACGUGGGCAACCUGCCUUAUCGACUGGGAUAACUCCGGGAAACCGGGGCUAAUACCGGAUAACAUCUAGCACAUCCUGGUGCCAGAUUAAAAGAGGGCCUUCGGGCUCUCACGGUGAGAUGGGCCCGCGGCGCAUUAGCUAGUUGGAGAGGUAAUGGCUCCCCAAGGCGACGAUGCGUAGCCGACCUGAGAGGGUGAUCGGCCACACUGGGACUGAGACACGGCCCAGACUCCUACGGGAGGCAGCAGUAGGGAAUCUUCCGCAAUGGACGAAAGUCUGACGGAGCAACGCCGCGUGAGUGAUGAAGGGUUUCGGCUCGUAAAGCUCUGUUAUGAGGGAAGAACACGUACCGUUCGAAUAGGGCGGUACCUUGACGGUACCUCAUCAGAAAGCCACGGCUAACUACGUGCCAGCCGCCGCAGUAA
rnacentral:rRNA from 1 species